rnacentral:rRNA from 1 species
GUGGAUUAGAUACCCUGGUAGUCCACGCUGUAAACGAUGUCAACUAGCUGUUGGUUAUAUGAAUAUAAUUAGUAGCGCAGCAAACGCGAUAAGUUGACCGCCUGGGGAGUACGGUCGCAAGAUUAAAACUCAAAGGAAUUGACGGGGGCCCGCACAAGCGGUGGAGCAUGUGGUUUAAUUCGAUGCAACGCGAAGAACCUUACCUACCCUUGACAUACAGUGAAUUUUGCAGAGAUGCAUUAGUGCCUUCGGGAACACUGAUACAGGUGCUGCACGGCCGUCGUCAACU